rnacentral:rRNA from 1 species
UACGUAGGGGGCAAGCGUUGUCCGGAAUUAUUGGGCGUAAAGCGCGUGUAGGCGGUCCGAUAAGUCGGUUGUGAAAGUCCAGGGUUCAACUCUGGAAUGCCGGCCGAUACUGUCGGACUAGAGUCCGGAAGAGGCAAGUGGAAUUCCCGGUGUAGCGGUGAAAUGCGCAGAUAUCGGGAGGAACACCAACGGCGAAGGCAGCUUGCUGGGACGGUACUGACGCUGAGAUGCGAAAGCGUGGGGAGCAAACAGG